rnacentral:lncRNA from 1 species
CAAUAGUCAACCCUUAGACAUCCAGGACACUAGGGAGACCACCCGGGUCCCUAGGCCACUGCCCUGCAUCCUGUCCUUUGAAUCUGACCUCAUCCAUUAGAGCACUUGCUCUCCCGCAGCCCUCUCCUUCCAGCGGUAAGACCAAAGGUGGUAGAGGCAACCCCAAAAUCCACUUGAAAGGCUGGCCAAUGAGUGAGUUUUUCAUGAUCUAAAAGGUUAUGAAGUAAAAGAGAGACUGAGCCUGCGGCACCAGAGAGGCCUGUCGUUAGAAGGAGGGAAAAACAGAGCAAACACAUAUAACUCACCCUGCCCAGGGUGCUGAGAACUGGAGACCGCCUCCCUGCCUUUUUCACCCUGGCGGUGAUGAGCACAGGGGACAUCAUUCUCUGUCUAGACAGUGUCCUGUGGCACAGGGCCGCCCUAUGACAAGUCUCCUGAAGGUCCUGCUCUCACUUCCCUCCUGACGGAAACACUCAGGCUGGCCCAGCUAACCUCACUAAGUGCCCACACCCAAGAACUGCCCGUAGGGGCGGCCUCUCCCGUGUCCCCUGUGCCCCCGGCCCAGAGCCUUCUCCGGGAGCCCACAGAGAGCUGGAGAAGAAGGAGAGCAUCAGGGCCACUGCGUGUGGGUGUGGAGCUUGGCCUGAGGGGACAAGUGGGGCUGCUUCUGUCAACUGGAGGGGCCCAGUCAUCCCAGAGCUGGCCCUUGUUCUAACAGCCACAGAGGCUCCAAGAAGGUGGAAGGGGGCUGAUUCCUCCAGUUCUCCCAGAAACUGCACACCAACCCCCUUCACUACGUUUCUGCACUCAGAGGCUGCCUCUAACCAAAGAGAGGGGCAGCUGCAGGGUUGGCACAUCGCCUGCCGUAAAUCAGGACAUUCAGAAAGGCGGCUCAAGACAGGUAGACCCUAGCCACGUGUGGCUUCAGGCUCUUGAAACACGGCUGGUCCAAAUGGAGAUGUCCUGCUAAAGGUCCCGGGCACGGUACCCCUGAUGAAAAGUGGAUAAAAGAUCACCGCCUGCCUCAGUGUCUGUUACAUAGAACCUCAAGAGGGGAAAGGGAAAAAAAACCUGUCCAUGGACCAAGCAGGCAGUAAAGGGCUGGCAGCUGUACAGCCCAAGGGGAAAACAAAAUCUGCUCGUAUAACUACUUACAAGGCAGUUUUCUCUAAAUUUCCAAAACAAGUCACCCCAAAUCAAAUUGCUUGAGAAGAAUGGGGGUGCUGAAAUAGAAACACCCCAAGUCUUGUUGCUGAAGAAUGUUUUUCACAAGGCACCAUUUUCUAAAAUAGCUGAAUGUGCUACAUCAAGCUACCUACUAUCUACUGAAAAUAAAAUAACUACUUAAAAACAAUUUCUCCCUCCAUAUAUACACAUAUUUAUUUCCUAACCCCACUUCCCAUUUAAGGAUGUAAAUUUAUUUUAAAGUAAUUUGCUUUUGUUGAGAAUCAUCACCACCACCACCACCAAAACCUUUCAUUUUCUUUUUUUCCUGCUUUUUUUCCCCAUCAAUCAUGGCUGUCAGAGGCUCCCAAAACUUUAUAAGAGAAGCAUUUCUCAAACUAAGUUAGCCCAAAAAAUUGUGAUGGAAGCAAUAGACAUCACUGCCAGCCUGCAUCUUCCUUGUCCUCCCUCCCUUCUCUUCUCUGCCAGUGAAUGCACAGCAUCCAGGAGGACUCAGGGCACUAGAAGAUGGCAGUACCUCCAGACGUAAGGAGCCCAAGUGACAGCAUGCAGGAGUUCCUCCCUCCCCAGCCCACACCUCGAAGAGACUUGCACAGGACUGUAAUGAGAGUGAGAAAUAAACCUUUUUAAAAGCCCCUGAGAUAUUGGGGUCAUGUAUUACAACGCUUAGCCGUUCUUGAUUAAUAUAGGUUAAGAAUUCCUCCAUUGUUUCAAUAGUGGUGUUUGUUAGCCCAAUUUGAUCUUUAAGCAGUGAAACUUCAAAAGUAACAAGACAAUUUUUUUCACGCUGAAGUGGUAGACACAAAAUAAUACUGAUAUUUUAAGUCCACUUUUUUUUUUUUUGACAUCACAAAUGGGCAUAUGUUUUCGUAGUGAAACUGCUCUCAUUAAGAAGCUUUACUGCUGGAGAAAAUAAGCCUUCCCUCUGUCUGAAGCGCUCCAACAGCAAAGACAGGCUGAGUUAGAGAUGCUGGCAUUCCACAGCCAUAUCCUCAGGCCCUUUUCUUCAUCAGGUUCUCUCUCGUAUGUGCGGUUGACCUAAAAUCCCAUCCCCUCUUGAAUAGCCUGAACGGCCGUGUGUGGAGUAGGAAUUAUAGUGCUUCCUCCCUCCCACAUUUAGUUUUUCUGUCUCUACCUUCAUAACUUUUAGAAGCUUAAAGCUCCUUUUUUUUUAGCAUUCAACCCAGAGAGAAAUACUAGUGCAUUAGAAUGCUUUGAGUAUUCCUCUUGAAAAGCAUUUCCUCUUUUGGAAACUUGAGUAAUUUCUAAAUCAGUAAGGCAGGCAUGCAUAGCGAAUAGGGAAAAUACUGCAGAAUGCAGUUUUCUGGCCCCUCUGGUUCAUUCUCAGGAUGGAGAAUUCCAUUCUCAGCAGUGGAUAAGUCCAUCGGAGCAUAGUAAAAUAAAAGAACGUGGCAGAGCAGCCUUUGUAAAAAUGAUAGACAUUUUUCAAAUGAACUAACAUAGUGGCCAUGUACCUACAUAUCUAAAUAAAAUACUUGCAGAAUCAGAAAAUACAGUUUGAAACUCAGUAGUCACGUAGUCUUAUAGUUAGCUUGGGCACUAAAUGGGAUGUUAAGAGAGGAGCAUAGAGUUGUGAGAAUCUUAUGAUCACUGUCUGUCAGACCCUUGGUAGAACAGCACAUCCUGCUGUGGUCCAUGAUGCCGAAGAACGUGUACUACUUGAAGAAAGUUUAGAGGAGAAUCACAGACGUGCUUAAAGAGAACGACGACAAGAUCUACUUGGAGAAAGAAAACCUGUAAAGUAACUAAACCACAGUUUCCAAGUAUAUAAAGGCUUUGCUUCCUUUCUUUGGAGAGAAAAAAAGACAUACAAGAAAAAAUGGACUCAACUCCAACUCUUUGGAGACUUGAGUUAGACAGUGGGCCAGCGAGUGCUGGGGGAGCAUUCCUA